UGGGGGGCCUUAUGGGAGGCAGCAGUGGGGAAUUUUGGACAAUGGGCGCAAGCCUGAUCCAGCAAUGCCGCGUGAGUGAAGAAGGCCUUCGGGUUGUAAAGCUCUUUUGUCAGGGAAGAAACGGCUGCGGCUAAUAUCCGCGGCUAAUGACGGUACCUGAAGAAUAAGCACCGGCUAACUACGUGCCAGCAGCCGCGGUAAUACGUAGGGUGCAAGCGUUAAUCGGAAUUACUGGGCGUAAAGCGUGCGCAGGCGGUUUUGUAAGUCUGACGUGAAAGCCCCGGGCUCAACCUGGGAAUUGCGUUGGAGACUGCAAGGCUUGAAUCUGGCAGAGGGGGGUAGAAUUCCACGUGUAGCAGUGAAAUGCGUAGAGAUGUGGAGGAACACCGAUGGCGAAGGCAGCCCCCUGGGUCAAGAUUGACGCUCAUGCACGAAAGCGUGGGGAGCAAACAGGAUUAGAUACCCUGGUAGUCCACGCCCUAAACGAUGUCUACUAGUUGUCGGGUUUUAAUUAACUUGGUAACGCAGCUAACGCGUGAAGUAGACCGCCUGCAUUUAU
rnacentral:rRNA from 1 species